CAGUUAUUCCUCCGACUGCUCUGAUAGAAUUUCCAAAUGUCAGAGAAAUGGAGAAGAGAUUGAAACCUCCACUUGUACUGUCUUUAUGCGAUUCCUUUUUUUCCCUCCACGAAUAGUAUCUCGCAAAUCCCAACGGUGUAAGUGUGCUCAAUUGAAUUUCGAACAACAUAUCCAAAUUUCUUCUCGCACUUCUCCAGCUUCGAUUUGGAGAUGAUUUGAAUUCCAACGACAUGGAAGGAAGAAAGUAUGAAGAUAAUUAUUAGGGUGAUAGCGGAACACAAUGCCAUUGUUAUUGUUAUGCAUCAGUUCUCUAAUUGCCCAUACAUAAUACAUGGGUGUGCCAGUGCGUGAUAAUAACCGCCAAGAUUCAAAGGCGGUUUGGCGGUUUUUUACUUUCCUUUAUGGUGUGUUUGGUUGGAAGGUGAGGAAUAAGUUACCAUAGAAAUGUGGUGUGUGUAUCUAAUUGGUUUCCCAGACAUGCACACUCUACGUAAGGCGGUUUGGCGGUUUGGCAGAAGUGACAGUAACCGCCAAAAUAGAUUCAAAGCGGUUUGGCGGUUUUUUACUUUCCUCUUCUCCGGAAGUCCCUACGCAACUGUGUUGAAGUGCAUGGGCCACGCCGUUCACGUGCUCAGAGUUCCCUCUGCCGAGAUCGUAUACUGGUAUAAUAAAUAAUACAUCAUAGAUGCUGCACUUUUCUUCUUCUUUGUAUCGUUUUUUUCUUUCUGGCGAUUUCUUUAUUCUCUGAGAAUAUUCACGGUGCUAUAGUUUUUAAUGAAACAGUUGAACUCUGUAGAGAGGGGGAAGGGAAUAGGAUGUGUGAGAAGCUAGUUUCGAGUUUGUUUAAACCUGCGCACGGUGUCGUUUAGAAUGCUAUGUUAUAGGGGAAUCAAAUGAGUUAAUUCGGUGGACAAUGUUUAUUUGGCUAAAUGUGUUUUGAAUGAUUCAUUAUAAAAGUAUUCCCAAUUCGGCAAUUUCACAACAUAGGCUUACGGGGAUUACUGUACUGAAUCAUUUUACAGGAUAUAUUUAAACAUUUCAACCUGUGAAUGGUGGGGAAAGCCUUGUGGACUGGAAUUAGAAGAUCCUGUGUGCAAGCCUUCCUUGCCAAAAAGGACUGUGUUCGACUUUUUGGUCCUCUGUUCUGGUAAGCAAGUUGCAGCACUUUUUGUUGUCUGUGUGAUUUUAGAUAUAUAUGAAGUUUGAGAAUUAAACUAGAUAGAACUAGCAUUGUUAGUGUGGUGCUGGAAACUUUUCAAUAUAACAAGUUGGUGUAUUAUUUUUUACUCUGUCCUCAUUCUUUAUUUUGUUUCUUACCCCCCCCCCCCUCCCUUUCAUAUGCUAUUACUAGCUUUCAUAGUUUUCUUUUAAAAAAUAAAGUAAUAGACAUUCCAUCAUCAAGUUGGUGCAGACAAAUUAGAUUGAUCAUUUGAAUGAAAACACGAACUAGGAAAACUUGGUUCAUAUAUUUGUCUCAUUUGUAGGUACUAGGUAGAUUUAUUGUUUUGGCUUGCAAAAACAACUCUAAGUUUCUAAUUUUUGUGUAGAUUUCUUUGGAGCCAGAUUACCUUGUCAAUGGAGAAUAUCUUGUAGAUAAAGGAGCAGCUCCAAAGAUGUUGAACUGUCUUAUGUAAGUUUUUUAGCACUACUAGUUGGGCUUGGCAUUUGAAUUAUCUUUGAAGUUCUAGCAAAUCUGUAUGCACAAUGAAUUUAAUUAAUUAUAUAUAUAUAUAUAUAUAUAUAUAUAUAUAUAUAUAUAUAUAUAAAUCUAUUAAGUAAAAUAUUUCUAAGAAAAUUUAUGUUAUAUUUUAGAAAUGGUUGUUUAACGAAGUACCAACUAGAUUUAUUCAGCCUCUAUUAGCUUAUUUAUUUAUUUGUUAUGUAACUAAAAUUUAUGAUAUUUAUAUAACUUAAUAAUUAUAAAUUAAUAUAACAUAACAGUUUUAUACAUAAUAUAAUUAAUUUACUAUUAGUUUAUUUAUUUGUAAUGUGUGAAUUUUUUUAGUUUUGUUAAUUAAUAUAAAUUGAUUUUCAGGUGUACCAUAUAACUACUAUUGAGCAAACUGAGACAAUGUUACACAUUUGCUUAAUUUUAAUAAAAAAAAUUUAAUUAAAUAAAAUAAAUAUAUUUUAAUAUUUAAUAUUAGGACCAUCGUUGUAGCAUUUAUUGGUCAACAGGAUUUAUAUUCAUGAUGGUUUUAUGAUAUUUAAUCCAAAGCCAAUUUUUUUAUAGAGACCAAAAUUAAAUUUAAAAUUUAAUAAUUUUUCAAGAAAAUCAUAUUUAAGUAUUUUCAUAAGAAAAUAUAAGUUUUAAAUGGCUAUUCCUUAUAAUUUUAUUAUACGUAAAAAAAGUGUUUAAUUUUUUUUAGUUUCACAAUUUCACGUGUAUUCUAUAUAAUGUAUAUUAAUUACUUAGUAGUGAAGUUAACAAUGAUGAAUAGUUCUAAUACAGGUCACAAACCAACUAAAAAAAUUAAAAAUGAUCAAUAAAAAAUAAUUAAAGUACACGAUUAUGUGGAUUUUUAGUCUGAACAAAGUUUUGAAUUUAUGAUAUAUAUAUAUAUAUAUAUCCAGAGAUCAGCGGAGUAGGAUCAAACGGACAAAUAGGAAGUAAGAAUGCAAUAUGAUAAAAUCAAACGUAAGAAUUGUAAACUUGUAAAGCAGAUAUCAAGGGCACACCGGAGACCGGCUUACAAAUCCCAGGUUUUCAUAAACAAAGAAACCGAAGCGGCGGCAGAGCCGCACAGGAUCGGUGAAGGGAGAAGAGAGAAGGAUAAAAAAUAGAAAUUUAUUGAAUCUAGAAAGAAGCGCUUACAAAAAUCUUGUUUCAGAGCACCUCUCUUCCGAAACCUGAAAAAUG
rnacentral:lncRNA from 1 species